rnacentral:rRNA from 1 species
GAGUUUGAUCCUGGCUCAGAACGAACGCUGGCGGCGUGCCUAACACAUGCAAGUCGAACGGAUUUGAGGGGCUUGCUCCUCAAGCUAGUGGCGCACGGGUGAGUAACGCGUAGAUAAUCUGCCUGAUGAUCUGGGAUAACACUUCGAAAGGGGUGCUAAUACCGGAUAAGCCCACGGGGUCUUUGGAUUCUGCGGGAAAAGGGGGGGACUUUCGGGCCUUCUGUCAUCAGAUGAGUCUGCGUACCAUUAGCUAGUUGGUAGGGUAAUGGCCUACCAAGGCUACGAUGGUUAGCUGGUUUGAGAGAAUGAUCAGCCACACUGGAACUGAGACACGGUCCAGACUCCUACGGGAGGCAGCAGUGGGGAAUUUUGCGCAAUGGGCGAAAGCCUGACGCARCAACGCCGCGUGAGUGAUGAAGGCUUUCGGGUCGUAAAGCUCUGUCGAGGGGAAAGAAGUGUAUUGUGGCUAAUAUCCACGAUACUUGACGGUACCCCUAAAGGAAGCACCGGCUAACUCCGUGCCAGCAGCCGCGGUAAUAC